AUGCCAGCCUUUCGUUCCUUUUGCGUCUUGUUUCUCUGCUUCUCUGCAACUUUCUCCACCAUGCCCAACUCUGUAUCACCUUCUCCUUCCCAUAAUGACCAUGGCCGCUGCCAUCGGAGACACGUGAGUCACGGCCGGCUGUACAUCGUUGAUUUUGAUGGAAGCCCAGCGAGGAGAAGUUGCAACCAGGGGCGGGAGGGAUGUUGGAACAGGCUCUGCGGAUUGCUACAACCUGGUUGUCGGCGAGCUACAAUCGACUCACCAUCGAGCUGCCAUUGGCACGGGCAGCGGGCUGCAACAGUCUGGGGGCGAAGCUGCAACCAGGGCGAGGGAUGCUGGAACCGGCUCCCACGGAAGCUGGGACCGUGGCUGGCGUGCUGGAACUGGGGCAUGCUCUGGUGCUCGAAUCAGUACUUAACAAUGCUGGAACUAGCAGCAAGUGGCCGUGCUGGAACGCCAUGCACGCGAUGCUUAAAAAGCUCCACGACGAAGUGA
rnacentral:rRNA from 1 species